rnacentral:rRNA from 1 species
AGAGCGAACGCUGGCGGCAGGUCUAACACAUGCAAGUCGAGCGCCCCGCAAGGGGAGCGGCAGACGGGAGAGUAACACGUGGGAACGUACCCUUCAGUUCGGAACAACCCAGGGAAACUUGGGCUAAUACCGAAUACGUCCGUAAGGAGAAAGAUUUAUCGCUGAAGGAUCGGCCCGCGUCUGAUUAGCUUGUUGGUGAGGUAACGGCUCACCAAGGCGACGAUCAGUAGCUGGUCUGAGAGGAUGAUCAGCCUCACUGGGACUGAGACACGGCCCAGACUCCUACGGGAGGCAGCAGUGGGGAAUAUUGGACAAUGGGCGCAAGCCUGAUCCAGCCAUGCCGCGUGGGUGAUGAAGGCCCUAGGGUUGUAAAGCCCUUUCGGCGGGGAAGAUAAUGACGGUACCCGCAGAAGAAGCCCCGGCUAACUUCGUGCCAGCAGCCGC